rnacentral:rRNA from 1 species
CCUACGGGUGGCAGCAGUAGGGAAUCUUCCACAAUGGACGAAAGCCUGAUGGAGCAACGCCGCGUGGGUGAAGAAGGGCUUCGGAUCGUAAAGCUCUGUUGUUAGAGAAGAAAGUGCGUGAGAGUAACUGUUCACGUUUCGACGGUAACUAACUAGAAAGCCACGGCUAACUACGUGCCAGCAGCCGCGAUAAUACGUAGGUGGCAAGCGUUGUCCGGAUUUAUUGGGCGUAAAGGGAGCGCAGGCGGUGUUAUAAGUCUGAUGUGAAAGCCUUCGGCUCAACCGGAGUAGUGCAUCGGAAACUGUGAGACUUGAGUGCAGAAGAGGAGAGUGGAACUCCAUGUGUAGCGGUGAAAUGCGUAGAUAUAUGGAAGAACACCAGUGGCGAAGGCGGCUCUCUGGUCUGUAACUGACGCUGAGGUUCGAAAGCGUGGGUAGCAAACAGGAUUAGAUACCCGAGUAGUC